rnacentral:rRNA from 1 species
UACAGAGGGUGCGAGCGUUGUCCGGAAUCACUGGGCGUAAAGGGCGCGUAGGCGGCCUGGCAAGUCGGUGGUGAAAGCUCAGAGCUCAACUCUGAGUCGGCCAUCGAUACUGCUAUGGCUCGAGUCGACUAGAGGCAGAUGGAAUUCCGGGUGUAGCGGUGGAAUGCGUAGAGAUCGGGAGGAACACCAGAGGCGAAGGCGGCGACCUGGACAGGAACUGACACUCAACUACGAAAGCGUGGGGAGCAAACAGG